AUCCAGGAUGUUGAACAGGAGCUGAGGAUGUGCACAGAGAGAGAGGUCAGACUGCAGCACCACCACACUUGGCUCACCAGUCAGAGAGAGUGGAUGGGCUCAGCCCAGAGGCCCGUCAGUCACUCUGAGGUGGAGAAGAGCUUAAAAACCUGUGAGGUGGGUUGAAAAACAGAACCUGGUGUACAGUACCACAGGUGUCAAGUCAUUUGCCCUCUAGCUAUUUCUAUGAUGACAGGGCCAUGUGCAAUAUUUUGUUUUUACCAGGUGUUUAUGUUUUUUAGAACCCCAAUAUUAUCAGAUCCAACAGCAAUUUAUUAGCAAUGAUGUGCACUGAUUUUGAUGUGUAAUGUCUUGACUUCUGUUUUUAAGAUGUCUGAAGCAUGUACAGUAAGAUGUCUGCUAGUAUAUAAUGUUUAUAUGUUCACCUACCAAGGGACUGCAGAUGGAAAUGAGAUAUUAGCUAAAUCUUACUUCUGAGACAUAUAUUUUGUUGUACGUUGUCCCUGUUUCAAAUAAACGUAAUAAAUAAAUCAAAUACAUUGGGGAUUGGACCUACAGUUGAACAUGCAUGUGUUACUGCGUUUGCUACUCCUGUCUGUCAGGGUCUGGAGGAGAAACUCUGGCUAAAUUAUACAGCUCUUCAAGAGUUGAGAGAGAAACACCACACAGGAAAAGAGGAUGGCACCUGUGCCUUCAUCACUCAGACAGAUGAUGUCAUUAAGGCCUGUACAGCCUUCAGUCAAGAGGUAAGCUCAGGGGAAUGAGGGCAGUUGCUUAACAAAUACAUGUAUUCACUGCAUGGACACUAGUUGUAAAAACCUUCAAAUUGUAGGGUGCAGUGGCUCCUAUUUUGACUCAUUGUUUCCCCCUCCAGAACCCAGCUGUGCGACAGAGACUGAAACAGGUUUUGGAGCUGUGGGCUGGGUUUGAGAAAGGACUGAAUGAUGCAACACUGGACACAGUGAAGACCUGCCAGGCUAUGGAAUACAGCUGCUUCCCUCAGCUUUCUCUCCAGGCCCUGCAACGACUCCAUGAAAAGCUCCAGCUUCUAAGGAAGGAGACUGAGGGGUGUGACUCAGAAUGGGAUGGUCUGAUCCACACUCUGUCCAUCCUCAGGGACAUGAUCAGUCCUACGGCCACCUUCCUCAUGUCAGAGCAACUGGAUAGAGAGAGAACCAGGUCAGUGUAAACUCCAAUACACACAAACACGCAUAUGCACACGCACUUAUACACACACUGAGUGGUCUUUUGUGGUCUUUCAAGGUGGAAUAAGGUGAAUCGUGAGCUGGAGAAUCACCUGAAUAGAACUCAGACACUGCUCCAGAUCUGGGGGGCUUAUGCCCGUCUCUCUGUACCUUUCUCCCAACGUCUGCAAACACUGAGGGGUGAUGUCACAGCUCUGAUGAACCAGCCACCUGGUCAGGACAAUACUACACAACUGGUUGCAGCCCAGAUACAGGCCGUCCAUGUAAGUGGGAUAUUAUGAAAGCUACAUGGUAGCGGGAAUAUGCACAUAGUUAAUGAGUCGUAUGAGAGUAUAGAUCAGACUGAUCCUGAAUCAGUUCUUGUGAGAACUCUGUCAUUCUCGCUGCUGUAUUUCUUUCAUUGAUCCUGUCCCAGAGCCUGCAGGAGAGAACAGACAGUUUACAGACCGACCUGGAGGGGGUGCUAGAGGCCUCUAAGGAACUCAGUGGACGAGUGGAACCCUCGUCUGCCGUCUUCAUCCAAUCAGAGAGCCGUAUGCUAACCCGUGGUGUCCUAUAUCUGAGCCAGUCACUGGCCGAUAAUCUUGGGCAGCUCCAGGUACUGUGUGGUGGUAUUUGCCUU
rnacentral:lncRNA from 1 species